CCCAAUAAAAAAUUAUCACAUACAUAAAAAAAAUUUCCCUAUCCAUUUUUCAUUUUUAUCCUACAUAAAACUUUAUCACAUACUAACAAGUGUACUCCAACAAAAGCACUGUCAAAUUCAGUAUAUAAACCAGAACAAAGUCCUUCCAUGCGUUUCUAUAUAAAUCAAAGUAAAAAGGGGCAAAAAAGAUUGCUUAAGCUUAUUUUGUGCAUACAUACGGAAAAAGCAAAUUAACUGAACGACUGCGUAAUCCAAGCGUUACGCAUAAUAUACAUUGGUACGCAACUCUAAGUCACUAAUUAAAAGAAA
rnacentral:lncRNA from 1 species